rnacentral:rRNA from 1 species
AUGGAACAAUGUAGGCAAGGUAAGUCGGCAAAACGGAUCCGUAACUUCGGGAAAAGGAUUAGCUCUGAGGACUGGGCUCGGGGGUCCCGGCCCCGAACCCGUCGGCUGUCGGCGGAUUGCUCGAGCUGCUCACGCGGCGAGAGCGGGUCGCCGCGUGCCGGCCGGGGGACGGACCGGGAAUCGCCCCUUCGGGGGCUUUCCCCGAGCAUGAAACAGUCGACUCAGAACUGGUACGGACAAGGGGAAUCCGACUGUUUAAUUAAAACAAUGCAUUGCGAUGGUCCUCGCGGAUGCUGA